rnacentral:rRNA from 1 species
UACGGAGGGGGCUAGCGUUGUUCGGAAUUACUGGGCGUAAAGCGCACGUAGGCGGCUUUGCAAGUUAGAGGUGAAAGCCCGGGGCUCAACUCCGGAAUUGCCUUUAAAACUGCAUCGCUAGAAUUGUGGAGAGGUAAGUGGAAUUCCGAGUGUAGAGGUGAAAUUCGUAGAUAUUCGGAAGAACACGAGUGGCGAAGGCGACUUACUGGACACAUAUUGACGCUGAGGCGCGAAAGCGUGGGGAGCAAACAGG